rfam:Termitomyces sp. J132 unplaced genomic scaffold scaffold101, whole genome shotgun sequence.
GCCCCCGUUGUCUAAUGGUUAUGACGUCAGACUUCUACCUUAGAGGGUUUCUGUAAUCUGGAGGUUGCGGGUUCGAGUCCCGCCGGGGGUU